CCUUCCUUCCACCAUGAGAAAAAGGACAUGUUUGCUUCUCCUUCUGCCAUGAUUCUUCUGGGAGCCUUCUGCAUUCCUUGGUUUGGGUCCCUUUCCUCCAUCUUCAAAACCAGUCUAAUAGCAUUUUCAUAUCUCUAUGAUACUAAUUCCCUCUUUUUUUAGGCAUAAACAUAUUUUCAUUGAAAAUCGUAAAGAAUUGAGAAGGAAAGGAGCCUGAAAUUUUAAAUGGAGACUUCUCUCUUGCUGGCUUAGGUAAAGCAAGUCCCACAUGGCAAAGAACUAAGGGACAGACAAUAAGAAACAAGCCCUCAGCUCAACAAGCCACAAGGAAGUGAAUUUGCCAACAACCAAGUGAGCUUGGGAGCAGAUCCUUCCAUAGUCAAGCUUUGAGACAAAACUGCAACCUGGAUUGACCCCUUGACUGCAACUUUGCAGAGAACAACUAAAUUAUGUCCUUGCUGUUGAUCCACAGGAUUCUGUGUUGCUUUAAACUACUGUUUGUGGUAACAUUGUAACACAAAAAUACAUAACCAAAACCAUUUACAUGGUGCUUACUAUACGUCAGGCACUAUUCCAAGAGUUUACUCUUUUAAUCUACAUAACUCAAGGAUAUAAUUAAUCUCAUUUUAUAAAUAAAGAAGAGAACACAGAGCUUAAAUAACUUGUCAAAGUUCACAGAGCAAGCAUCUCUAAUCAACAUAUAUAAUAAUAUGCUUCUUUGUAAAAAUAACAUUUUAUUAAUGAAAUGGAGUUUAAUAGGCCUGUAUGCUACCCACAUCUGAAUUCCACUGACGUAUUUUCUCACAAAUAUUUUAUACCU
rnacentral:lncRNA from 1 species